CUAUCUUUCAUUUUCGUCAACCUCCUUGUUCCUCGUGUUUUACUCUCCGGGGUUCUGGUUCCUCGUGUUUUAUUCUGCAGGGUUCUGGUUUAAUCGUGU